CCUACGGGAGGCAGCAGUGAGGAAUAUUGGUCAAUGGUCGGGAGACUGAACCAGCCAAGCCGCGUGAGGGAUGAAGGUACAGAGUAUCGUAAACCUCUUUUGUCAGGGAACAAAGGCGGGGACGUGUCCCCGGAUGAGUGUACCUGAAGAAAAAGCAUCGGCUAACUCCGUGCCAGCAGACGCGGUAAUACGGAGGAUGCGAGCGUUAUCGGGAUUUAUUGGGUUAAAAGGGUGCGCAGGCGGUCUGUUAAGUCAGCGGGCAAAGCCCGGGGCUCACCCCCGGCCCGCCGUUGAAACUGGCAGGCUGGAGUUGGAGAGAAGGAUGCGGAAUGCGCGGUGUAGCGGUGAAAUGCAUAGAUAUCGCGCAGAACUCCGAUUGCGAAGGCAGCAUGCCGGCUCCACACUGACGCUGAGGCACGAAAGCGUGGGUAUCGAACAGGAUUAGAUACCCUGGUAGUC
rnacentral:rRNA from 1 species